rnacentral:rRNA from 1 species
CCUACGGGAGGCAGCAGUGAGGAAUAUUGGUCAAUGGACGAGAGUCUGAACCAGCCAAGUAGCGUGAAGGAUGACUGCCCUAUGGGUUGUAAACUUCUUUUAUCUGGGAAUAAAAUGUUCCACGUGUGGGCUUUUGUAUGUCCCAUAUGAGUAAGGAUAGGCUAACUCCGUGCCAGCAGCCGCGGUAAUACGGAGGAUCCGAGCGUUAUCCGGAUUUAUUGGGGUUAAAGGGAGCGUAGGUGGAUUGUUAAGUCAGUUGUGAAAGUUUGCGGCUCAACCGUAAAAUUGCAGUUGAAACUGGCAGUCUUGAGUACAGUAGAGGUGGGCGGAAUUCGUGGUGUAGCGGUGAAAUGCUUAGAGAUCACGAAGAACUCCGAUUGCGAAGGCAGCUCACUGGACUGCAACUGACACUGAGGUUCGAAAGUGUGGGUAUCAAACAGGAUUAGAUACCCUUGUAGUC